UACGUAGGUGACAAGCGUUGUCCGGAUUUACUGGGCGUAAAGAGCGCGCAGGCGGUCGAUCAAGUCGAGUGUGAAAGCCCCCGGCUCAACUGGGGAGGGUCACGCGAUACUGAUCGACUCGAAGGCAGGAGAGGGUAGUGGAAUUCCCGGUGUAGUGGUGAAAUGCGUAGAUAUCGGGAGGAACACCAGUGGCGAAGGCGGCCCCCUGGGCCGCGCCUGGACGCUGAGACGCGAAAGCGCGGGGAGCGAACGGG
rnacentral:rRNA from 1 species